AAGCUCCAUCACUGGGAUAAUGAAAUACAGAAGAGAACAUUCAAAGACAUAAUACAGAGAACAAUCCUGCCUUCCCAGACAAAUUGGCAAGAUCAACUAAUAUGAGUGAUUAGGCUGGAAAGAUUUAUUUUUAUCUAUGUUCAAAAGAGUGACUUAGAAACACACAAUCACUGAAUUAAAGGGCCAGUGACAUCUUAAAACCAUAUACUGUCAUUAAUGUAAUCUAGUGUGCCACAGUCUGGUCCAAAACAACAUCCAAUUACGUUUGGUGACGUAUGCUGUGAAAAACAGCUACCGAUAUACCCUCAAGAAUUUCUAAAACAAAGUGAAAACUGAGAUUUUCAGAUUUAUAUCCAGGAGGAUAAUGAUUUAUGCAAGCUCUAAGCAGCAGACAAAAACAUAAAAAAGAAACAAGAAGAGAAAAUAGUGAAGUACAAAGAACUCUGCCACGGAGUGGAAUGAUUAUGAAAAACUAGUACAAAGACAAUCCCAGCGAUCGGUCAAGCACUUGCAGCAAUCCCUAAGGAUAUGAAUGAGCAGUUCAAGGACACUUUAGGAGUACAAGACAUCACAAGUGACGUCCCGAAGACAGUGCUCUUUGGCACAGUGAAAAUGUUAAGGAAAAUCAAAGGAGAACAAGUACAUCUGAGCACCUAAUGCAGGAAUUCUGCAGAGGGUUUUAAUGAAACUCCUGACUACUCAAACCUAUGGUGUCAGUUUGUGGUCAGGAUUGAUGGUGACCCCUGGGGAUAAAUUUUAGACAGUAGCUUUCCCCUUUUUAUGCUUAAAGACCUUAUCUGUUGUGAAGGCUAUUUGUUUAAAAAUACAAAAACAAAACAUCCCCUUGAUGUAAUACUGAGGGAUGAUAAUGUGGAGGACAGCAUGAAAUAUCAGAUUUGCAUCUACUUUAUGUAACUCAUUUGUACUAUGUAUAAGCCCUGAUCCUGCCAUGUAACGUGCACUGUGACCACUGGCU